ACUUAACCACUCUGUGCCUCCAUUUCCGUAUCUGGAAAAUGGCAGAAUGAGCAUCUCAAAGGAUGUUUUUUAAAGGUUCGUGAAAUGUUGGCUAUUAUUUUAUCACACUGAAGUUUUACCUUUUGAUGUAAUCAUAAAUAGCUAUUUUUUGA